UCCUGACUGACCGAUAGUGAACCAGUACCGUGAGGGAAAGGCGAAAAGAACCCCGGCGAGGGGAGUGAAAAAGAACCUGAAACCGUGUACGUACAAGCAGUGGGAGCACGCUUAGGCGUGUGACUGCGUACCUUUUGUAUAAUGGGUCAGCGACUUAUAUUCUGUAGCAAGGUUAACCGAAUAGGGGAGCCGAAGGGAAACCGAGUCUUAACUGGGCGUUAAGUUGCAGGGUAUAGACCCGAAACCCGGUGAUCUAGCCAUGGGCAGGUUGAAGGUUGGGUAACACUAACUGGAGGACCGAACCGACUAAUGUUGAAAAAUUAGCGGAUGACUUGUGGCUGGGGGUGAAAGGCCAAUCAAACCGGGAGAUAGCUGGUUCUCCCCGAAAGCUAUUUAGGUAGCGCCUCGUGAAUUCAUCUCCGGGGGUAGAGCACUGUUUCGGCAAGGGGGUCAUCCCGACUUACCAACCCGAUGCAAACUGCGAAUACCGGAGAAUGUUAUCACGGGAGACACACGGCGGGUGCUAACGUCCGUCGUGAAGAGGGAAACAACCCAGACCGCCAGCUAAGGUCCCAAAGUCAUGGUUAAGUGGGAAACGAUGUGGGAAGGCCCAGACAGCCAGGAUGUUGGCUUAGAAGCAGCCAUCAUUUAAAGAAAGCGUAAUAGCUCACUGGUCGAGUCGGCCUGCGCGGAAGAUGUAACGGGGCUAAACCAUGCACCGAAGCUGCGGCAGCGACACUAUGUGUUGUUGGGUAGGGGAGCGUUCUGUAAGCCUGUGAAGGUGUGCUGUGAGGCAUGCUGGAGGUAUCAGAAGUGCGAAUGCUGACAUAAGUAACGAUAAAGCGGGUGAAAAGCCCGCUCGCCGGAAGACCAAGGGUUCCUGUCCAACGUUAAUCGGGGCAGGGUGAGUCGACCCCUAAGGCGAGGCCGAAAGGCGUAGUCGAUGGGAAACAGGUUAAUAUUCCUGUACUUGGUGUUACUGCGAAGGGGGGACGGAGAAGGCUAUGUUGGCCGGGCGACGGUUGUCCCGGUUUAAGCGUGUAGGCUGGUUUUCCAGGCAAAUCCGGAAAAUCAAGGCUGAGGCGUGAUGACGAGGCACUACGGUGCUGAAGCAACAAAUGCCCUGCUUCCAGGAAAAGCCUCUAAGCAUCAGGUAACAUCAAAUCGUACCCCAAACCGACACAGGUGGUCAGGUAGAGAAUACCAAGGCGCUUGAGAGAACUCGGGUGAAGGAACUAGGCAAAAUGGUGCCGUAACUUCGGGAGAAGG
rnacentral:rRNA from 1 species